AACGAACGCUGGCGGCAUGCCUAACACAUGCAAGUCGAACGGGACCUUCGGGUCUAGUGGCGCACGGGUGCGUACCGCGUGGGAACCUGCCCGUAGGUUCGGAAUAACUCCCCGAAAGGGGUGCUAAUACCGGAUAGUGUCUUCGGACCAAAGAUUUAUCGCGGUAGGGUGGGCGCUUGUUGGUUUCGGUGGUUGGUAGGGGAAAAGCCUACCAUGGCGACGAUCCAUAGCUGGUCUGAGAGGAUGAUCAGCCACACUGGGACUGAGACACGGCCCAGUCUCCUACGGGAGGCAGCAGUGUGGAAUAUUAGACAAUGGGGGAUAGUCUGAUCCAGCAAUGCCGGGGGAGUGAUGCAGGCGGUAGGGUUGUAAAGCUCUUUUACCCGGGAUGAUAAUGACAGUACCGGGAGAAUAAGCACCGGCUAACUACGUG
rnacentral:rRNA from 1 species